GUCGAAUGACUUGGAAAAGUCAGUCAAAGAGGGUAAAAACCCCGUAGACGAAAUGUGGAAGACACCUAGGAGGAUCCUGAGUACGGCGGAACACGAGAAAUUCCGUCGGAAUCCGGGAGGACCAUCUCCCAAGGCUAAAUACUCCCUAGUGACCGAUAGUGAACCAGUACCGUGAGGGAAAGGUGAAAAGCACCCCGGAAGGGGAGUGAAAUAGAACCUGAAACCGUGUGCCUACAACAAGUCAAAGCCCGUUAAUGGGUGAUGGCGUGCCUUUUGUAGAAUGAACCGGCGAGUUACGAUUGCAUGCGAGGUUAAGUUGAAGAGACGGAGCCGCAGCGAAAGCGAGUCUGAAUAGGGCGUUUGAGUAUGUAGUCGUAGACCCGAAACCAUGUGAUCUACCCAUGUCCAGGUUGAAGGUGCGGUAAAACGCACUGGAGGACCGAACCC
rnacentral:rRNA from 1 species